AGUGAACGUUGGCGGCGUGGAUUAGGCAUGCGAGUCGAGCGAGAACCGUAGCAAUACGGGGACAGCGGCGAAAGGGACAGUAAUAUGUAGGUACCUACCCCGAGGUCUGGGAUAGCUGCGGGAAACUGCAGGUAAUACCGGAUAAUGUCCUCGGACCAAAGGUGUGAUUCCACCUCGGGAGGGGCCUGCAUCCUAUUAGCUAGUUGGCGGGGUAACGGCCCACCAAGGCGACGAUGGGUAGCGGGUGUGAGAGCACGACCCGCGUCAUUGGGACUGAGAGACUGCCCAGACUCCUACGGGUGGCUGCAGUCGAGAAUCUUCGGCGAUGGGGGAAACCCUGACCGGGCGACGCCGCGUGCGGGAUGAAGGCCCUCGGGUUGUAAACCGCUGUCGUAGAGGAGGAAAUGCAGGGGGGUUCUCCCCUUUGCUUGACCUAUUCUAGGAGGAAGUACGGGCUAAGUUCGUGCCAGCCGCCGCAGUAA
rnacentral:rRNA from 1 species